GCAAAGUAAAAGGAGCCGGCGAACCUCCACUGACGGCCGGCUCGAUGAGGUUCGGCCCGCAAGACCAGCCGCUCCAACUCCCGUUUUUAGCAAAUACAAUUCUAGCAAGAAUUGAGGCCUUUGAACUAUGGUGCUGGAGAAGACUCCUACGAGUCCCUUGGGCUGCAAGGCGAUCAAACCGGUCAGUCCUAGAGGAGAUCAACCCUGACUGCUCUUUAGAAGGCCAGAUCCUGAAGAUGAAACUCAAAUACUUUGGCCACCUAAUGAGAAGGAAGGACUCACUCGAGAAGAGCCUAAUGCUGGGAAAGAUUGAGGGCAAAAGAAGAAGGGGAUGACAGAGAACAAGGUGGCUGGAUGGAGUCACUGAAGCAGUCGGCGUGAGCUUAAAUGGACUCCAGGGGAUGGUAGAGGACAGGAAGGCCUGGAAGAACAUUGUCCAUGGAGUCUUGAUGGGUCGGACACGACUUUGCAACUAACAACAGCAACAAAGGACCCUCUCUUCACCCCAUGUCCCAAAGUCCACACCCCAUUAUACAUUCAGAAUAAAAUUUGAUUUAAUUCUA